rnacentral:sRNA from 1 species
GCUGAGUGCAGUGGUGCACACGUGUAAUCCCAGCAGCUUGGGAGGCUGAGAUAGGAGGAUCAUGGGUUCAAAGCCAUCCUCAGCAACAGCAGGGUGGUAAGGAACUCAGUGAGACCCUGUCUCUA